rnacentral:pre_miRNA from 1 species
AAAAAGAUAAACCCUGGGUUUCCACGUCCAAUGUUUGACCGUCCGUCUUAUUUAAAAAAAAUAUAAAAAAAUUAAAAAGACAAGUCACGCAUAAAGUAUUAAUCAUGUUUUAUCAUCUAACAAUAAUGAAAAUACUAAUUAUAAAAAAUUUCAUAUAAGACGGACAGUCAAAUGUUGGACACGGAAACCCAGGGUUUAUCUUUUU